AUGGGCUCUUCCGCUCUCCUUUUCCUAGUGGAGCGAUGGCAUCGUCCGAAACACAAGGAUUCAUCAGAAUCGGCAAUGGCAGCCACUCUUCCUGUAGGUUUCUUUGUGUACAUUGAACUUUUCCUCUUUGUAGGUUCCCUCCACGCGUGCCACAAUUUUGCUCGUGGCGGGGGACGAUGGGAGGAGCGCCGGCGGGCUAGGGAUGACGAGGGGGAGCGUCGCCGCGGCCGCAGACAGAGGAAAAGACGAAAAAAUAAAGAAAAAAAAUCUCGGCGGAAUUGGGCUGGCGUAGGUUGGCAGGGCGAUCGCCGGAGGCAAGGAACACGGCGGGUGGCACCGACAGGCGAACGAGUGAAAGGGCUAACAUGGGAAAGGACGGAAAUUACCCCGAGAAGUUGCCGCAGAGGAGUAAAUAUAAGCGAUUAA
rnacentral:rRNA from 1 species